GUUGCUAACCGAGCCCCCUUGUUUCAUCCAGCUUUGCUUUUACGGUUGUUGCCUCCUUCUGAAGCAUUGUGACAGAACUGGAUGGUCCGACUUCUCAUUGCUGGUUUCCAGGGUGCGCUCGGACCAUGGACAGAACCCUUAAGCAUCAGCGCCUCUUUGUGUUUGUGCAUUUGUUGCUAAUUUCAAAUCAGCUUCUGUUUCAGAAGCGUGCGUGUCUUGACUGCAUUUUGAGAUAGCAUCUUUAGCCUACCUGAAUUGACAGCAUCUGUUCCUUCCCAGCAUCCAAAGCAACAUGUGCCCCAGUUUCAGAGAGCAGGCGAAACACAUGCCUGCCAGUCACGCUGAACCCUGUCCUCUUGAAAGAACUGUUCUCGCCUGCCCUUUUGUUUCAUUCAUUGUGGAGAAGUGUGGGUCCAACAAUGUCAUUAACGGGGUCCUUUGUGUUAAUAAACACAAUAGUUUGGGCUAACCAGUAGUUUGGGCUAAUCAUGCAGCCCUCUCAUCUCUGAAUUUGGCUGGUGGUGGCAGGUUGGGAGAUUUCAGACUCUCUUCAGCAGCACAGAGCAGAAUCAUCAGGCUGGAUGCGAGGCUGUCUUCAUGGGGCUGCAGCCUGUAUGGUUGCCCAGGGCUCUGUGCUUACAAAGACCCCAUCCUUGCCUAAAUGUUCUGCUGUGAAAUUCUUCAGUGAGGUUCCAUGCCUGGGAAGAAUAAGAGGGCUUCUGGUGGUAACACACCAUCACCAUCUUGAGUAGAUGUGGCCACGAAAGAAAAAUGCACAACGUACAAGUUUUGAGUUAUGUUUUAUUCAGGGAACUUACUGAGAACUAUAGCUCGGGAGACGGCCUCUCUGCGAGCUCUGAGGAAUUGUUCUGAAGAGGUAAGGGAUGAGCCAAGAUAUAUAGGAGUUUUUGUUUAAAAAAACAAACAAACCAUAUAGUCGAACAUCAAAAGAUUGUUGUUAAUCACAAAAAAUGGUCAUCUCAAGUUAGUGAUUUUAGUGCUUUUCUGUGUGUGGGAAGAUGAAAGAGUCUGGGCUCAUUGAAACUAUUCCUUAGAUUUGCAGGUGCCUGGGAAAGGGCGCAGCUAGAGGGUAGGGUUACUUACCUGGAAUGCCAUCAGACAGUCACAGUUUUGCUAAGAGCUGGUCCAGGACAAGACAGCCCUAUAUUGUGUCCAAUCUGCAGGGAAAUUCCCUUUCUCUACAGUCUCUUAGUGGCUGUCAGAGUAGUCAGUCACGAGACAGGGCCACGGAGAACAGGACAAGGGCCAGGUGAGCCUGGACCAGGCAGAGGAAGAAGGGAAAGUCUAAAGCAGGCUGUGCUUCUGUGUGAUGCUCUCUAACAGGUAGGUGGGGGAAGGACUCGGGAAGGGAGAACAGGAGAAGACAAACUUUUCCUACUCCGCAGUUGAACUGGCAUGGUUCUGCCACACCAAAAAGGCUCCUUCAGAAAUGAGCAAAGCCUCAGAACCAGCUGCUGCAGGACUGGAUGCAGCUGAGGAGGGGUGGCUGGGUUUGCGGGUGUUAAAGCCCGGGUGUUCUCUGGUACGUCGCACGUCCUGCCAGAUGAGGUGUGUCCCUAUGGAAAACAGGCCCUUCAUCCCACGCUUCUGAGGAUGAGGUUGCAAUAAAGAUGAAAUGAGAUCGCUUGGAAAGUGUUCCUAACUCAGCUUCUGGAUGUGAGCUCGCUUACCCUUCUGACAUUAUCUUUCAUUCAUUCAUUUAUUCAUUCAUCCAUAAAUAUUUAUUCAGUGCCUACUCUGUCAGGUGAUGCUGGAUGAGGGUGUUGGAAAUUAUCCUGGAUUUCAGUGAAUCGGGAGAAAUUCGGGGAGGCAGGCAUUGUGGUCAAAGAGCACUCAACUCUGCAAUUCCAAAACUUGAGCUAAUUCUCCUCUUCUUUGACCUGCUCUCCUUUCAGGAAUUCUCGAAACGAGAAACUGGUGUCUCCUCUCUAAUUAGUCAUCUUCAAUUAGUCAUUGCAUCUUUGCUUGUCUGUCUCCAAAAUCUCUCUGAAACUGUUCUGUCUCUUUUCCCAUGACUCCUGUGUUGCUCUGGGACUUAUUCCCAAUCAGCUGGACCUAUAGACCUGCCUCAGCUUCCUUCCUCAGCCUCGCGUGCUUCUGUUCCAACCGUCACACCUCUACCAGAAUGAUCUAUCCGUUUAUUUUUGGGGGGAUGGGGGGAAAUUGAACCCAGGACCUCAUGCAUGCGAAGCAUGUGCUCUACCACUGAACUGUACCCACCCACCCAGAAUGAUCUCUCCAAAAUGAAAAUUUAACUGUGCCCUACUCCUGUUUAAAGGGCCUAUCUGCCUACAUGAUACAUUUCAAGGUUCCUAGGUGAGUAUUAUGGGUUGCAUUGCACCCCCUCCCCCCAAAAAAGGUAUGUUGGAUUCCUACCCCCCACCAGUAUCUCAGAAGGUGACAUGGAGAUCAGGUUCUCAGAGAGGUGAUCAAGUUAAAAUGAGAUCAUGACGGUGGGCCCUGAUCCAAUAUGGCUGGUGUUCUUAUAAGAGGGGAGACUGGAUACAGAGACAGACAGGUCCUCAGGGCGAAUGCCAUGUGAAGACUGGAGUUAUGCCACGAGCCCAGGAACCACGUGAAGCUAGGAGAGGGGCCUGGGAAAAAUCCUUUCCUAGCAUCUUCAGAGGGAGCGCAGUCCUACUGACACCUUGAUCUCAGACUUCUAGCUUCCAGAACGGGGAGCAAUCAUUUUCUGCUGUUUGAGCUGCCCAGUUUGGGGUGCUCUGCGCUGGCAGCCCAAGCAAACUAACACGAUGAGAGUCCCAUCUUCCAGGGCUUUUACUUCAUUUAUUCCUGCCACACAUAUGUGUCAAGAGCUGAUCGUAUGCAGGUACUGUGCUGGUUCUUGGGAUAGGGCUGGAAAUAAGACAGGUGGUCCUUGCCUCGUGGAACUUAUGCUCUGGUGAGGGCUAUGACAAGUGCCCAGGCCCUCGGAAUGAGAGGUAAGAGGUCUCUGAUUCAUAUGGUCCUGAGCACACAAAAGCAGGACCUCAAAUCAGUACUUGGAAGGCUAGAGAGAGGUUCUCAGAAGAAGCGACAUCGAAUCUUGUUGUGAUAAGGACUCCCCCUUGCCUACAAAAUGUUUUAGAUGAACUAUGAAGAAAGUGGGAAGAAGAGAGGAAACUAAGGUGAAUUCUGCAAAUCAUCCUGGCCGCCCUCUGAGAUUAUACUCUUGGGCAUGAGUUUUCCCAUGUGGUGUGAGGAAGCCCUCUUGGUACUUUUGUCCACACUGUGGGUACAGGUACCAGAACGUAUCUACCAAGACAGAACUGCGCUAUGUACUACCUUCUGCUUUCCCUCUACCAGCCAGCUUUCCAUCAUGCUCCCUUUGGAGGCAGGCUUUGUCAUUUCUUUUCCCCUUCAAAGUUGACCUUGCUCAUUUUAACCAGAUAUCAACUAUUUUAAUAACAUGGCAAAGAGAAUGAGAAGACAAGCUCCAGACUGGGAGAAAAGAUUUGCAAAAGACAUCUGAUAAAGGAAUGUUAUCCAAAAUAUACUAAGAACCCUUAAAACUCAAUCAUAGGAAAAGGAACAACCUGAUUUAGAAAUGAGCAAAAGACCUGAAUAGUCACCAAAGAAGAUAGACAGAUGGCAAGGAAGCAUAUUAAAAGCAAGCAUAUCACAGAUCAUCAGGGGCAUACAAAUUAAAGCAACCAUGAGCUAUACACCUAUUAUAGUGGCCAAAAUUCAGAACACUGACAACACCAAAUGCUGAAGAGGAUGUGGAGCAACAGGAACUCUCAUUCAUUGCCAGCGGGAAUGCAAAACGGUACAGCCACUUUGGAAGACAGUUUGGCAGUUUCUUAUAAAACUAAACAACUCUUACCAUCUGAUCCAGCAAUCAGACUUCUUGGUAUUUACCCAAGUGAAUUCAGAACUUAUGUCUACCCCUGCCUAUGGGUAUUUCUAGCAGCUUUAUUCAGAAAUGCCAAAAUUUGGAAGCAACGAAAGAUGUCCUUCAGUAGGUGAAUGUGUAAUAAACUGUGCUACAUCCAGACAAUGCAGUAUUAGCACUAAAAAGAAAUAAGCUAUUAAGUCAUGAAAAGACACAGAGGGGCCUUAAAUGUAUAUUACUCAGUGAAAGAAGUCAAUCUGUAAAUGCUAUAUACUGUAUGAUUCCAAAUAUAUGGCAUUAUGAAAAGGCAAAAUUAUGAUGACAAUAAAAAGAUCUGCGGUUUCCAGGGAUGAGGGGUCAGGGAGGGAUGACAGGCGAAGCACAGAAGAGUUUUAGGGCAGAGAAGCUAUUCUGUAUGAUACUACAAUGGUGGACCUCUGUUGUUACACAUUUGUCAAAAACCCAUAGGUUGUGCAACACCAAGAGGGAGCCCUAAUGUAAACUGUGGACUGUGGGUGAUGGUGACAUAGCAGUGUAGACCCAUCCAUUUUAACAGAUGCACCCUGUGGUGCAAGGAAGUUGGACCUGUGUGGGGACAGAGGGCAUAUGGGAACUCACUAUUUUCCACUCAAUUUUGCUAUGAACCUAAAACUGCUCUAAACAAUAAAGUUUAUGGCUUAAAAACACAACAAAAUGAAACUCACAGGUAAAUUUGAGUUGUGUGUGGGAACUGUCAUCUCUCCAGGUUUUGUGCCUCUUUCUCCCGCUGAACAUCCCCAUGGAUAGCAUUCCCAACCGUUUCUUCUAUUUCACCUCUG